AUUGAACGCUGGCGGCAGGCUUAACACAUGCAAGUCGAGCGGGGGAAGGUAGCUUGCUACCGGACCUAGCGGCGGACGGGUGAGUAAUGCGUCGGAACGUGCCGAGUAGUGGGGGAUAACGCAGCGAAAGUUGUGCUAAUACCGCAUACGUACUGAGGUAGAAAGUGGGGGACCUUCGGGCCUCACGCUAUUCGAGCGGCCGACGUCUGAUUAGCUAGUAGGUGAGGUAAAGGCUCACCUAGGCGACGAUCAGUAGCGGGUCUGAGAGGAGGAUCCGCCACACUGGGACUGAGACACGGCCCAGACUCCUAAGGGAGUCAGCAGUGGGGAAUUUUGGACAAUGGGCGAAAGCCUGAUCCAGCCAUGCCGCGUGUCUGAAGAAGGCCUUCGGGUUGUAAAGGACUUUUGUCAGGGAGGAAAUCCCUAGUGCUAAUAACACUGGGGGAUGACAGUACCUGAAGAAUAAGCACCGGCUAACUACGUGCCAGCCGCCGCCGUAA
rnacentral:rRNA from 1 species